rnacentral:lncRNA from 13 species
GCUGACCCUGGAAAGGGGACAAUCGGCGCCUGGAGGGGAGGAUGACAGGCUCUCCUCCUGCCCUCCCUCCCACCUACACACACACACACACACACACACACACACACACACACACACACGCACACAAACACUCUCUCUCUCUCACCCUUACCUACCUGGUCCAGAUGGGUGGAGGAUGAAGGGGCUACGGGGUGACCAGGGAGAGAUGCUUGGAGGAAGGCACCUCCCAGUUGAGUCUUGGACAGUGGAGGAUGAAGCUGUGGUAAGGGAGAGCAAAGCAACACUGUCUUGGUCCCCAAAGCAGGCCCUGCAUCAAAGAUGGCAGUGGGAACAACUUAUUGGGAGGUGCAGGUGAGGGCAGGAGUGGAAGGCAGCUCAUAGAGAGGACAUUGUCCAGCUGACCUGGUGGGCAACAGGAGCGGAAGCUCUUCAGGGACAUUCUGGGGAAUGGCAUAAAGUGCCAGCCCCAGACAAUCCCAGGCACAACGCGAGGGAGCUGGGGUAUUUGCACCCUUGCACGGGUUAACAGGCUGCCCCUGGGGGGAGAAACAUUCCAGGUCAUUUUGUUUCUCAUUUCCAGAAGCCCAAGGGCAGACCUCCAGCAGCCUUUGGAAAUCAGGCUGCUGUGCCUGAAACAGGUGCUGUGGAAUCAGGACCCUCAUCAUGAAGUUAGUGACGGCUUUUGCCACGGAGGCGAGUGGGCAUGUCUGUUCCCUAAAACGCUGCGGAAAGAAGCAUCAGAUUACCUCCAACGCACUGUGUCUGGACCACUAUUGGGAACAUAGGUGCUUUUUCUUAUAAGAGGUUUUCAGAGUAAAUGAACUUGAGAUUUCAUUAAGAUAGCUAUUGUGUAAGAAAACUGGCCCGUCUGGCUGGACAGGUUUUGUGUUUUGGGGUUUUUUUUUUUUUAAGAACAACUUGUUUUAAAAUAAGAUUAGUAUCAAUUUGGUUACCCUCUCUCUACAAAGAAGUCACCCCUCUCAGAGACCCUGACAUCUGCUAGGUGGAGGCAUUACUGUGGCUGCUGCCUGCAGGGGCUGUGACUUGGGGGUUCACCCUAGAGAUGAAACAGUGUCAGUGUCAGGUCAGUUAUCCCAACAGUGAUGUCUGCCUGGUAAUAAUUGAGUCCUACUGUGUGCUGUGCGCUGGGUUAAGCCCUUCACAUACCUCAUAGCUGACUCUUAUGAUAAUCCCAGAGGGGUAUCAUGAUGAAAAACUUGAGCAUAGGAGUGACCCAGAAUUGGGCUAAAUCCCUAGUCUACACUUAAUAGCUGUGUGACCUAUGGCAGUUUGCAGUCCCCUCUGUAGACUUCAGUUUCCUCAUAUAAAAGUGGGCAUCCUAACAGCAUCUGCCUAACAGGGCUCUUGUGAGAAUGAAUGAAAUUGAGCAUAUAAAUAAAGCAUGCCUAUAAAGCA